rnacentral:rRNA from 1 species
UACGGGGGGGGGGGCAAGCGUUGUUCGGAAUUACUGGGCGUAAAGGGUCUGUAGGUGGCUUGCUAAGUCAGACGUGAAAUCCCUCGGCUUAACCGGGGAACUGCGUCUGAUACUGGCGAGCUUGAGUGCAGGAGAGGAACGCGGAAUUCCAGGUGUAGCGGUGAAAUGCGUAGAUAUCUGGAGGAACACCGGUGGCGAAGGCGGCGUUCUGGACUGCAACUGACGACUGAGAGACGAAAGCCAGGGGAGCAAACGGG